rnacentral:tRNA from 1 species
GAACAGGUGGCGAAUGGCAACGCACUAUAUAGUUAAUGCAGAUUCAAUUUACCAGUGGUGCGGCGAUUUUCCUGCAUUUCUACCCGCACAGGCAGCUGGCCUGACGAGCACACUGGCAAUGAUUGUAUAGUAUAUGUAGGUUCGAAUCCUGCCCUGUUCG